rnacentral:rRNA from 1 species
AUUGAACGCUGGCGGCAGGCCUAACACAUGCAAGUCGAACGAGUGGCGGACGGGUGAGUAAUGUCUGGGGAACUGCCUGAUGGAGGGGGAUAACUACUGGAAACGGUAGCUAAUACCGCAUACCAUCAGAUGUGCCCAGAUGGGAUUAGCUAGUAGGUGGGGUAAAGGCUAACCUAGGCGACGCGCCCUAGCUGGUCUGAUAGGAUGCCCAGCCAAACUGUACCUGAACCACGGUCCAGACUCCUACGGUAGGAAGCAGUGGGGAAUAUUGCACAAUGGGCGCAAGCCUGAUGCAGCCAUGCCGCGUGUAUGAAUAAGGCCUUAGGGUUGUAAAGUACUUUCAGCGGGGAGGCGUUACCCGCAGAAGAAGCAACGGCUAACUCCGUGCCAGCAGCCGCGGUAAUUC